UUCUUUCUUUGGUGACAGUCUUUUUACUUUUUAGGACAGUUUUACAUAUACAGGAAAACCAUGAAAAUGAAUCAGAGAGUUCCAAUAUAUUCAGUUUCCUGAUAGUUAGCAUCUUAUAUUAGUAUGGUACAAUUGCUGUAAUGAAUGAAAGAAAUAUUGAUACAUUAGCAUUAAAUUAGAUGUUUUAUUCAUAUUAUCUUAGUAUUUGCAUAAUUUUUUUUCUUUUCCAGGAUCCCAUCUAGAAUACCAUAAUAUAUUAUAUUUAGUUGUCAAGUCUCCUUAGGUUUGUCUUGGCUAUGACAGUCUCAAGAUGUAUUUGUUUUGAUGAUCUUGAAGGUAGUGUUGGAUAUUGUGAAGAAUAUCUCUCAACUGGAUUGUCUGAUGUUUUCCCUACGAUUAGACUGAGAUUACCAGUUUUGGGGAGAAAGAUCACAAAGGUGUUGUGCUGUGUUCUAUAAACGUCAGUAGGAUUCUGUUGGUUGGUGGCAUUUUCGAGUUCUUCUAUGUCCUUGCUGAUGUUCUGGUAAGUAAUUAUUGAAUAGGGUUUAUGUUUUCAACUAUGAUUGUGUUUAUUUUUAUUUUUCCUUUCAGUUUUAUUAGUUUUUGUCCUAAGUAUUUUGAAGCUUUCUUGUUGCCUACAUAUUUAGAAUUGCUUAUGUUUUCUUGCUGUGUUGACUUAUUUUC
rnacentral:lncRNA from 1 species